rnacentral:miRNA from 1 species
GCUCCUUUCUGUCCCCUGCCAUAUACAUAUAUAUGUAUGUGUGUGCGUGUGUGUGUGUGUGUGUGUGUAUA